AGCUUAUGAACUUGAACAAGUGUGUACUUUGAAAGUAUAAAAAAGAAUAGGUUUUCUAUAAGCUU
rnacentral:tRNA from 1 species